rnacentral:rRNA from 1 species
GAUGAACGCUGGCGGCGUGCCUAAUACAUGCAAGUCGAGCGAACAGACGAGGAGCUUGCUCCUCUGACGUUAGCGGCGGACGGGUGAGUAACACGUGGAUAACCUACCUAUAAGACUGGGAUAACUUCGGGAAACCUGAGCUAAUACCGGAUAAUAUAUUGAACCGCAUUGUUCAAUAGUGAAAGACGGUUUUGCUGUCACUUAUAGAUGGAUCCGCGCCGCAUUAGCUAGUUGGUAAGGUAACGGCUUACCAAGGCAACGAUGCGUAGCCGACCUGAGAGGGUGAUCGGCCACACUGGAACUGAGACACGGUCCAGACUACUACGGGAGGCAGCAGUAGGGAAUCUUCCGCAAUGGGCGAAAGCCUGACGGAGCAACGCCGCGUGGGUGAUGAAGGUCUUCGGAUCGUAAAACUCUGUUAUUAGGGAAGAACAAAUGUGUAAGUAACUAUGCACGUCUUGACGGUACCUAAUCAGAAAGCCACGGCUAACUACGUG